ACCUUCGUGGUGUAGUGGUCAGCACGCUCGACUUGUAACGGAGAGGUCCGUGGUUCGGUUCCCGGCGAAGGCG
rfam:Stegodyphus mimosarum contig57555, whole genome shotgun sequence.